rnacentral:rRNA from 1 species
ACGAAGGCUUCGGCCUUAGUGGCGCACGGGUGCGUAACGCGUGGGAAUCUGCCCCUUGGUUCGGAAUAACAGUUGGAAACGACUGCUAAUACCGGAUGAUGACGUAAGUCCAAAGAUUUAUCGCCGAGGGAUGAGCCCGCGUAGGAUUAGGUAGUUGGUGUGGUAAAGGCGCACCAAGCCGACNAUCCUUAGCUGGUCUGAGAGGAUGAUCAGCCACACUGGGACUGAGACACGGCCCAGACUCCUACGGGAGGCAGCAGUGGGGAAUAUUGGACAAUGGGCGAAAGCCUGAUCCAGCAAUGCCGCGUGAGUGAUGAAGGCCUUAGGGUUGUAAAGCUCUUUUACCCGGGAUGAUAAUGACAGUACCGGGAGAAUAAGCUCCGGCUAACUCCGUGCCAGCAGCCGCGGUAAUACNGAGGGAGCUAGCGUUAUUCGGAAUUACUGGGCGUAAAGCGCACGU